AAAUUGAAGAGUUUGAUCAUGGCUCAGAUUGAACGCUGGCGGCAGGCCUAACACAUGCAAGUCGAACGGUAACAGGAAGCAGCUUGCUGCUUCGCUGACGAGUGGCGGACGGGUGAGUAAUGUCUGGGAAACUGCCUGAUGGAGGGGGAUAACUACUGGAAACGGUGGCUAAUACCGCAUAACGUCGCAAGACCAAAGAGGGGGACCUUCGGGCCUCUUGCCAUCAGAUGUGCCCAGAUGGGAUUAGCUUGUUGGUGAGGUAACGGGCUCACCAAGGCGACGAUCCCUAGCUGGUCUGAGAGGAUGACCAGCCACACUGGAACUGAGACACGGUACC
rnacentral:rRNA from 1 species